GCGGCCUAUCAGCUUGUUGGUGAGGUAAUGGCUCACCAAGGCAACGACGGGUAGCCGGCCUGAGAGGGCGACCGGCCACACUGGGACUGAGACACGGCCCAGACUCCUACGGGAGGCAGCAGUGGGGAAUAUUGGGCAAUGGACGCAAGUCUGACCCAGCGACGCCGCGUGCGGGAUGAAGGCCUUCGGGUUGUAAACCGCUUUCAGCAGGGAAGAAGCGAAAGUGACGGUACCUGCAUAAGAAGCACCGGCUAACUAUGUGCCAGCAGCCGCGGUAAUACAUAGGGUGCAAGCGUUGUCCGGAAUUAUUGGGCGUAAAGAGUUCGUAGGUGGUUCGUUACGUCGGAUGUGAAAAUCUGGGGCUCAACCCCAGACCUGCAUUCGAUACGGGCGAGCUAGAGUUUGGUAGGGGAGACUGGAAUUCCU
rnacentral:rRNA from 1 species